CCUUGACAGUUACAUGGUGUAGCUGACAGUAGCCAAGACAAGGAGAUUAACAUG
rnacentral:sRNA from 12 species